rnacentral:lncRNA from 1 species
GGAACUAACUUUUAUUUCAAACGUGAUUUCCGCUUCCUGUUAAAUAAACCAACGCGCGGCCUGAACAACAGACUACCCUCUUCAGGGAUCGAACUCGAAAACAACAAUGCUUGGCACCGGUUCAAAUUUGUUUGGCAGUGGCCCGACUGCAGCAUCUCCUUCCUCAGGAGCACCCACAUUUGGCAGUGGGUUAACAACAGACAAUAAACCAGCUGCAGGUUUUACAUUUGGGUCUGCACCAUCUGGGCCCAGUGCUUCACUUCAAGGAGGUGCAGUACCCAGAACUUUCGUAUUCAGUAAGUAUUUAUUUUAUCU